UACGUAGGGGGCUAGCGUUGUCCGGAAUCAUUGGGCGUAAAGAGCGUGUAGGCGGCCCGGUAAGUCCGCUGUAAAAGUCAAGGGCUCAACCUUUGAAUGUCAGUGGAUACUGCCGGGCUAGAAUCCGGAAGAGGCGAGUGGAAUUCCUGGUGUAGCGGUGGAAUGCGCAGAUAUCAGGAGGAACACCAAUAGCGAAGGCAGCUCGCUGGGACGGUAUUGACGCUAAGGCGCGAAAGCGUGGGGAGCAAACAGG
rnacentral:rRNA from 1 species